rnacentral:rRNA from 1 species
GAGUUUGAUCGUGGCUCAGGAUGAACGCUAGCGACAGGCUUAACACAUGCAAGUCGAGGGGCAGCAUGAUUUGUAGCAAUACAGAUUGAUGGCGACCGGCGCACGGGUGAGUAACGCGUAUGCAACUUACCUAUCAGAGGGGGAUAGCCCGGCGAAAGUCGGAUUAAUACCCCAUAAAACAGGGGUCCCGCAUGGGAAUAUUUGUUAAAGAUUCAUCGCUGAUAGAUAGGCAUGCGUUCCAUUAGGCAGUUGGCGGGUAACGCCCACCAAACCG